rnacentral:rRNA from 1 species
GACGAACGCUGGCGGCGUGCUUAACACAUGCAAGUCGAACGGAAAGGCCCUGCUUGCAGGGUACUCGAGUGUCGAACGGGUGUGUGACACAUGUGUGUUCUGUCCUGCACUUCGUGGUAAGCCUUCGAGACUGUGUCUAAUACCGGAUAUGAGCCAUCCUUAGUCUUGUGGGUGGAAAGUUUUUUCGGUGUGGGAUGAGCGCGCUGGCUACUUGGUUGCUGGUGGGGGGAUGGCCUACCAAGGCGGCGACGGGUAGGCGGCCUGGGAGGGUGGACGGCCACAUUGGGACUGAGAUAAGGCCCAGACUCCUACGGGGGGCAGCAGGGGGGAAUAUUGCAAAAUGGGCGGAAGGCUGAUGCAGCGAAGGCGGGUGGCGGAUGAAGGGCUUCGGGUUGUAAACUCGUUUCGCUAGGGACGAAGCUUUUUGUGACGGUACCUAGAUAAGAAGCACCGGCUAACUACGUG